GCCUGAGUGGUCAAGUGGGUAAGAGGCGCGGCUCUCACCCACACGGUGUGGGUUCGAUCCCCGCACCAGGUC